rnacentral:rRNA from 1 species
UACGAAGGGAGCUAGCGUUGUUCGGAAUUACUGGGCGUAAAGGGCGCGUAGGCGGCUUGGCAAGUUGGGUGUGAAAGCCCAGGGCUCAACCCUGGAAUAGCACUCAAGACUGCCUUGCUUGAAUUCGGUAGAGGUUGGUGGAAUUCCCAGUGUAGAGGUGAAAUUCGUAGAGAUUGGGAAGAACACCCGUGGCGAAGGCGGCCAACUGGACCGACAAUGACGCUGAGGCGCGAAAGCGUGGGGAUCAAACAGG